rnacentral:rRNA from 1 species
UACAGAGGGUGCGAGCGUUGUUCGGAAUUACUGGGCGUAAAGCGCGCGUAGGUGGUGUGUUAAGUCUGCCGGUCAAAUGCCGAGGCUCAACCUCGUUGCACGCCGGGGGAUACUGGCACGCUAGAGACAAGUAGAGGCAAGCGGAAUUCCGGGUGUAGCGGUGGAAUGCGUAGAGAUCCGGAGGAACACCGACGGCGAAGGCAGCCUUCUGGAAAGUACCUGACGCUGAGGGGCGAAAGCUAGGGGAGCGAACGGG